AUGUAGCGCCUGCCGGGGGGGAUGAGAACCCCCGACCGGGGUUCGACAACUGGCAACGCCAGUUGGACAGACCGCACACGCAGUAAGCGGGCUGCCCCGCAGGGGCGAGCGAAGCGAGUCAAUCCCCCCCUCACCGCCA
rnacentral:sRNA from 3 species